CAAACUCCUACGGGAGGCUGCAGUAGGGAAUCUUCCACAAUGGGCGAAAGCCUGAUGGAGCAACGCCGCGUGUGUGAUGAAGGCUUUCGGGUCGUAAAGCACUGUUGUAUGGGAAGAACAGCUAGAAUAGGGAAUGAUUUUAGUUUGACGGUACCAUACCAGAAAGGGACGGCUAAAUACGUGCCAGCAGCCGCGGUAAUACGUAUGUCCCGAGCGUUAUCCGGAUUUAUUGGGCGUAAAGCGAGCGCAGACGGUUGAUUAAGUCUGAUGUGAAAGCCCGGAGCUCAACUCCGGAAUGGCAUUGGAAACUGGUUAACUUGAGUGCAGUAGAGGUAAGUGGAACUCCAUGUGUAGCGGUGGAAUGCGUAGAUAUAUGGAAGAACACCAGUGGCGAAGGCGGCUUACUGGACUGUAACUGACGUUGAGGCUCGAAAGUGUGGGUAGCAAACAGGAUUAGAUACCCUGGUAGUCCACACCGUAAACGAUGAACACUAGGUGUUAGGAGGUUUCCGCCUCUUAGUGCCGAAGCUAACGCAUUAAGUGUUCCGCCUGGGGAGUACGACCGCAAGGUUGAAACUCAAAGGAAUUGACGGGGACCCGCACAAGCGGUGGAGCAUGUGGUUUAAUUCGAAGCAACGCGAAGAACCUUACCAGGUCUUGACAUCCUUUGAAGCUUUUAGAGAUAGAAGUGUUCUCUUCGGAGACAAAGUGACAGGUGGUGCAUGGUCGUCGUCAGCUCGUGUCGUGAGAUGUUGGGUUAAGUCCCGCAACGAGCGCAACCCUUAUUGUUAGUUGCCAGCAUUCAGAUGGGCACUCUAGCGAGACUGCCGGUGACAAACCGGAGGAAGGCGGGGACGACGUCAGAUCAUCAUGCCCCUUAUGACCUGGGCUACACACGUGCUACAAUGGCGUAUACAACGAGUUGCCAACCCGCGAGGGUGAGCUAAUCUCUUAAAGUACGUCUCAGUUCGGAUUGUAGUCUGCAACUCGACUACAUGAAGUCGGAAUCGCUAGUAAUCGCGGAUCAGCACGCCGCGGUGAAUACGUUCCCGGGUCUUGUACACACCGCCCGUCACACC
rnacentral:rRNA from 1 species